AGCGAACGCUGGCGGCAGGCCUAACACAUGCAAGUCGAACGAACUCUUCGGAGUUAGUGGCGGACGGGUGAGUAACACGUGGGAACGUGCCUUUAGGUUCGGAAUAACUCAGGGAAACUUGUGCUAAUACCGAAUGUGCCCUUCGGGGGUAAGAUUUAUCGCCUUUAGAGCGGCCCGCGUCUGAUUAGCUAGUUGGUGAGGUAAAGGCUCACCAAGGCGACGAUCAGUAGCUGGUCUGAGAGGAUGAUCAGCCACAUUGGGACUGAGACACGGCCCAAACUCCUACGGGAGGCAGCAGUGGGGAAUCUUGCGCAAUGGGCGAAAGCCUGACGCAGCCAUGCCGCGUGAAUGAUGAAGGUCUUAGGAUUGUAAAAUUCUUUCACCGGGGACGAUAAUGACGGUACCCGGAGAAGAAGCCCCGGCUAACUUCGUG
rnacentral:rRNA from 1 species